AUAUUUGAAACCCACCCACCUCUCCAUAAUCGAAGUAAGACCGAUUUUUUUAUUUAAAAAGAGUUGGGCCUAGAAUUUUGACUUGGAAUUCGAUGAACAUACCUGUUAUGAUGGCGAGCCAGUGACAGUACUUUUUUCUAAACAAAGGACGAGAUUGUGCGGAGCAGUUCGUCUGCUUUGGAAAUAGUUAAUCUGGUCCAGAAGUCGCGUUGACGUGAGCACGUUACUGAGAAUUAUUAAAAGGAAAUUGGUGUUUAGGGCAGUAAGGAAGCAAAAUGUUUCUUCUAUCGAUUUGACAAGGGACAAGUCGACUGUUUGACCAUUCUGAUCUUCUGAUUCAUAAUUCUAAAGGCCUUGCUUUUAUUGUCUAAUGUCUAACAAUGUUGGUAGUGAAACACAACUUUGUUGUGGCUUUAUGAGAAUCCAAAAUCCCUUUCUCAAAUGGAAAGAGAGAGACUUGACUGUACACAAACAUUUAUACUAAACACAUUGUGUUAUUAUGCAAUUGAUUAUAGUUUAUUUUUAAUCUUACUACAUGUUUCCAAGUGGUAGAUUAAUAAUUGUAGGGAAUUGAAAGAGAUUGCACUCGUAAAAUUUUUCAAACCUUUUCCUUGCAAAUUCUUCAUUAGGCUCUUGUAGUUAUAUCAAAGUUGUCUUGUGGCUACCAAUGGCGGCACUACCUUGUUUGACUGCAGCUAGUUUUAUUUGUAGUCUGUGAAAAGAAAA